rnacentral:lncRNA from 1 species
CCCCCUUGACCGGUGUCGCCCCGUUCGGCUACUCCGAAGUUCUCAGGCGGAACGUCUUCACCGGUUGUCCCCGUUAUUAAACCCAUGUUGUUGAAGGAAUUCUCCCUUGAGCCCCAGUUAAAGCGGCGGGAACCCUCAGUAGCGGCUUGACAAUCGAAGAACUCGCAGACCGCUGUUCUCCUCCUCGCACUCUUCUUAGUCUGUGACAUCAUCUUGAGAUUGGCCUCCGGGGCAGAGGCCCCGGUGGGGGAACCCCUUGGAGAGACUCGAGGGACCGGAAGCGGCGGAAAGCCGGCGGAGAUGGCAAAGACCGACGCGAAAGGUGCUUGGAGUCGGAAGGGGCACCGAUGGAGUGGCUGAGUGGCUAAGCUCUCAGGCGAAAGAAGGAUGUCGUGAAGCCCCUGGAGGAAAGGUGGGGGCUUAAAUAGGCAACGGGGCCUGGCGCAGUUAUGGUGGCAGGUGUCCCUAGGCCAACCAGUGCCCACCACGUGUCCCGCGUGUCCCACUCACCGCGACCUGGGGUUGACCGUUCGUAAACUUUCAUGACACGAUGCUUGGGAUCACGUCC